rnacentral:pre_miRNA from 1 species
AUCUGAGUCACCUGGGCAUCUUGUUGGAAUGCAGAUUCUGAUUCAAUAGGUCUGGCACACAGCAGAGAUUCUGCAUUUCCAACCAUCUCCCAGGUGAUGCUGAU